GGAUGUGAGGGCGAUCUGGCUGCGACAUCUGUCACCCCAUUGAUCGCCAGGGUUGAUUCGGCUGAUCUGGCUGGCUAGGCGGGUGUCCCCUUCCUCCCUCAGUGAUCCACGUGCAUCCCUUCCGAAGUUGCGGGCUCGGUGGAAGAGGAUGACCACCCCCGAUAGAGGAGGACGGUUCCUCGGUCAAGGGUAUACGAGCAGCUGCUAGAACCUCCAAACAAGCUCUCAAGGAUGAGCUUGCUUCCUACCAAGGCAUGUGAACAGUUUCUGAAGAGAGCUCUUCAG
rnacentral:snRNA from 1 species